rnacentral:misc_RNA from 1 species
AACGGUCUAUACCUGCGGUACCUGCGGAGGGAUCAUUACUGAAAGAUACUAGGGCUUUGAGACUGCGUCUAAAAUGGACGUGUGCUCGGCUCUUACUCUUUAUCCACACACACCUCUGUGCACUAUGGGAUGUAAAAGUCCCCCUUUUCACACAAAAACCGAGUUAUAUGCAUGUUAUUUAUGCUCUACGGAGUAAUAUACAACUUUUAACAACGGAUCUCUAGAUCGGAAGAGCACACG